ensembl:lncRNA
GGGUUGCCAUUUUCUUCUCCAGCUUUAACUCAAGAGAUUUCUGUUAACUCCUGCUAAGUGGCCUAGGUGGAAGAAGUUCAGCAGAGUGCUCAGCAAGAGCAGCAAACAACUGGGACCUGAAGAAGAGAUAAUAUCUCAGGAGAGAAAGAGAGACUCAGAUGCGUGAAACAGAGAUGGUUUGAGGAGAAAGGAGGGAAGGAUGAGUUGAGACCUUACGGAUGAUUUAGGACUGUGGCAAAGCCCCAAACUGAAAGCCUGAAAUCCCCAAAUUCAUCUCCUAUUUGCUACUUCACUAUAUAUUCACCCUUUCCCAGACUAGAACAAGAGGGAGAUGCUUUUAGAUGGUUGUAUAGAAAUAAAUUUUUCUUAUCUACCCGA